rnacentral:rRNA from 1 species
AUGGCUCAGAACGAACGCUGGCGGCGUGCCUAACACAUGCAAGUCGAACGUGAUCCGGAGCUUGCUCCGGUGAAAGUGGCGCACGGGUGAGUAACGCGUGGAUAAUCUGCCUGAUGCUCUGGGAUAACAUCUCGAAAGGGGUGCUAAUACCGGAUAAGCCCACGGGGUCUUCGGACCUUGCGGGAAAAGAGGGGGACCUUCGGGCCUCUUGACAUCGGAUGAGUCCGCGUCCCAUUAGCUAGUUGGUGGGGUAAAGGCCUACCAAGGCGACGAUGGGUAGCUGGUCUGAGAGGAUGAUCAGCCACACUGGAACUGAGACACGGUCCAGACUCCUACGGGAGGCAGCAGUGGGGAAUUUUGCGCAAUGGGGGAAACCCUGACGCAGCAACGCCGCGUGAGUGAUGAAGGCCUUCGGGUCGUAAAGCUCUGUCAGAGGGAAAGAAAUGUGGGCAGCUAAUAUCUGUUCCGCUUGACGGUACCCUCAGAGGAAGCACCGGCUAACUCCGUGCCAGCAGCCGCGGUAAUACGGAGGGUGCGAGCGUUGUUCGGAAUUAUUGGGCGUAAAGCGCGUGUAGGCGGUUUGCUCAGUCUGAUGUGAAAGCCCUGGGCUCAACCUGGGAAGUGCAUUGGAUACUGGCAGACUUGAGUACGGGAGAGGGUAG